CCUACGGGAGGCAGCAGUGGGGAAUUUUGGACAAUGGGGGAAACCCUGAUCCAGCCAUGCCGCGUGAGUGAAGAAGGCCUUCGGGUUGUAAAGCUCUUUCAGUCGGAACGAAACGGUCACGGCUAAUACCUGUGACUACUGACGGUACCGGAAGAAGAAGCACCGGCUAACUACGUGCCAGCAGCCGCGGUAAU
rnacentral:rRNA from 1 species